rnacentral:rRNA from 1 species
AGCAGGGUACACCCGACAGGACGGAAAGUCGCCUUGGAGAUUUACUGUAUAGAGAUAUUGAAUUAAGGUACAUUUGGUACAGGAUAGGCGGGAGCAAUUGAAACCGGAGCGCUAGAUUCGGUGGAGGCGCUGGUGGGAUACCGCCCUGACUGUAUUGAAAUUAUAAACUACGGGUCUUAUAGACCCGGGAGACAGUGUCAGGUGGGCAGUUUGAAUGGGGCGGUCGCCUCAUAAAGUGUAACGGAGGCGCCCAAAGGUUACCUCAGAA